GAUUAUGGCUCAGGAUGAACGCUGGCGGCACGCCUAACACAUGCAAGUCGAACGGAGUUUAUGAAGCUUGCUUAAUAAACUAGUGGCGGACGGGUGAGUAACACGUGAGCAACCUGCCUUUCAGAGAGGGAUAGCUUCUGGAAACGGAUGGUAAUACCUCAUAACAUAUUGAUACGGCAUCGUAUUAAUAUCAAAGAUUUAUCGCUGAAAGAUGGGCUCGCGUCUGAUUAGCUGGUUGGUGAGGUAACGGCCCACCAAGGCAACGAUCAGUAGCCGGACUGAGAGGUUGAACGGCCACAUUGGGACUGAGACACGGCCCAGACUCCUACGGGAGGCAGCAGUGGGGAAUAUUGCACAAUGGGCGCAAGCCUGAUGCAGCGAUGCCGCGUGAGGGAAGAAGGUUUUCGGAUUGUAAACCUCUGUCAUCGGGGACGAAAAUGACGGUACCCGAGAAGGAAGCUCCGGCUAACUACGUGCCAGCAGCAGC
rnacentral:rRNA from 1 species